GCGCGCGAGAGGUCCGCCGCCGCGCCGGCCGGCAGCGCCGGGAGGGCCUUUUUUUUUAAGUUAGAAAAUUAAGUUAUAUUUUUAUGAUAGAUUUUUAAGUAUGAUUGUUAAGUUAGAAAAUUAAGUUAUAUUUUUAAGUUAGAUUUUUUAGUUAGAUUGUUAAGUUAGAUUUUUAAGUUAGAUUUUUAAGUUAGAUUUUUUUUAAGUUAUAUUUUUGUAUAUGUGUCCCCUCCGCCGUCCCGCCGCCGUGACCGCCGCCGUCACAACCUAGUAGGCACCGCCCGUGGUUCCGGGGAACCGUCCCUGCCUCCGACGUACCGCCGCCCUGACCGCCGCCGUCACAACCUAGGCACCGCCCGUGGUUCCAGGGAACCGUCCCCGCCUCCGCCGCCCUGAUCGCCGCCGUCACAACCUGGGCACCGCAUGUGGUUAUUGCUAGAAAUUC
rnacentral:lncRNA from 1 species